rnacentral:misc_RNA from 1 species
AAGUCGUAACAAGGUUUCCGUAGGUGAACCUGCGGAAGGAUCAUUAACGAGUUUUGAAAUGGGUUGUAGCUGGCCUUUGAAAAAAUAGAAGGCAUGUGCACGCCCUGCUCAUCCACUCUCAUACCCCUGUGCACUUAUUGUAGGCUUGGGUGGGAUGAUCAACUGUAAGGUUGGUUUGAAAGCCUUUAGUCUAUGCUUUAUUACAAACUCUACAAAGUCAUAGAAUGUCACAUUAGCGUAUAACGCAAUAAAUACAACCUUCAGCAACGGAUCUCUUGGCUCUC